ACACAACCUUGUCCGCAAUUGCAUUCGAAGAUUCUCGUUUGAUUUCCAAGAAGAAGGCUUUCAGUUGUCCAGGCCAGGCCAGGUGACCAAUGACGAUGAUAGAUCGGGUUCGAUUCAAGCUAUACGCUUGGUGUAUUUGGUUAUCGUGACUGGCGACUGAGUCUAACUCACGUCCAAAGCGCGGUGGCUGGGUCCCAGGCAUGCUUGCCACUUUGUUCCACAGUCCUCAUCUAAGUUUCGACGGUGAUGACAUGGACUUAGGUUCAGGGUACGUGAUCCCCUUGAGUCAUUGUGGUUGAUUGAUGGGGGCAAUUAACGGUUGCGUGUCGCUAGUCAUUCAAUUGGUCCCCUUGUUUUAGAGUGUUGGCGGGAUAAGUCUUACGACUGUUAACAAUAGUAAGCAAUAGCUGGCCAGCGAUCCCCUACCUGAUCUCGAGGGGGAUGGAAUGACUGGGGUUAGAGGCCUGUUGUUAACCUGCGGAAUUUCGUCGGACGAAAUGUCAGGCGUGUCCGUGUGGGACUUGUGCUAAAUCAGUUUAGUACAUAUGACGAAGACAUUGGGCUCUUUGAAUAACAACAGUGUUCUCAACCUCCUUGUGCCUCACAAAACUGACAUAUAUACCCGCUGAAAUCGACAAGACGGCGAUGAAGAAGGAGAGCCGGCCUCCAGCUCGAGAGCCGAGAAGACACUGGAUGGACCUGAAGAAUAUGUUGCUGCCAAUGUUGGAGCCAUACAGGGCAGCCCGAGCCAACAUUGUACAAGGGCCACAAGGACAAGGGACAAGGGACACAAGAACAAGGGACACAAGGACAAGGGACACAAGGACAAGGGACACAAAAGACGAUGUUACGCAGUCUACAGGGCUAUGCAGAUGACUGGAGAUGAUGGCUGUUGAGUUGACCCAAUGACUUCCACCACAAUCUACAAUGACGGAAGCAAGAACGACUCUCAAAGACCCAGAAAACAACAGAUGCCAACACUUCGCCCCAUGAUAAGAUGCCUUCAUACCCAUCCAUCGACAAUUUGGGGAAGACAGCCUAAUUGACCUUCAUGGGGAUCUUCCUGGCAGAUGUUGUAUGAGGAAGGAUUCAAUGCAUGUACACCAUGCUUGGAUGAGGGACUGAGAGUCGGGUAGAUUCAAUGGAUGGAAUCGUCUCGCUCACGGAUAUCGGCGGUGGACACUUACAUCAUGUGACAUUCGAAUAGACUUUAAUGACAAUCGAAAUGAUGCUAUAAGGGGACUCUGAUGACUCUAAGGACAUAGAGCCCUUCUCGUUAUGUAAUGUGACGCCAUAUCCAGCAGCCACCAUGGAGCCAGCUCAUCUCUUACAUAUGGAAGGAUGCCAUCUCAUACGGAGAUGAGCCAUCCCACAGAAGGGAGGAGAAUGUCGCUGAUCCAGCGCAUCUCUACCAUGCUCCCGUCGCCGUCAAGGAGGUUUGAUUUUUGUCACCGUAGGCCUUGCCCUUUUAUUGCAAUAUCUGAUUGAAAGGUGAUUUAAUAACAAUCCUAAUAAUUUGUUUUCUGAUUGCGAGAAGGCAAUUAUUUGCCUUCUUUCGGGCAAUGACAAACUCUUGCCAUGGCUCA